GGAGCUAUAUCACAAAAUAUAAAUAUGAUGUUUCCACAAAUACCAAACAACUAUAUUUCCAUGCAGCAUUUGGAAUCAAAUAGGGCUUUCACGGCGAAAUUGGCUAUGUUCACGAAAUUGAAUGUUCACAAAAUUGAAGUGUUAUACGUAUAACAUUUCAAAUCCUACUAUGAGGACUGGACUAGAUUUCAAGUUCGCGCAAUUUUGAUCAAGUCUGAGGCGAAGCCGAGGACUGGAUCAAAAUGCUCCUCGUCAG